GGUGUGCUGCCCGGUGCGUGCAGGAAACGCAAUCCCCGGGGCCUUAUCGAUCCUUAAGGGAGCUGUCCCUGACCGGACCCGUGGGUUCGGAUAUACGGCGCCCACCUACACGCGUAGGUUUCCCGGGAUCGAAAUUCCCACGGCCGGGCGGCACCAUC
rnacentral:other from 1 species